AUUGAACGCUGGAGGCAGGCCUAACACAUGCAAGUCGAACGAGUGGCGGACGGGUGAGUAAUGUCUGGGAAACUGCCCGAUGGGGGGGGAUAACUACUGGAAACGGUAGCUAAUACCGCAUACCAUCGGAUGUGCCCAGAUGGGAUUAGCUAGUAGGUGGGGUAACGGCUCACAUAGGCGACGAUCCCUAGCUGGUCUGAGAGGAUGACCAGCCACACUGGAACUGAUACACUGUCCAGACUCCUACGGUAGGCAGCAUUGGGGAAUAUUGCACAAUGGGCGCAAGCCUGAUGCAGUCAUGCCGCGUGUAUGAAGAAGGCCUUCGGGUUGUAAAGUACUUUCAGCGAGGAGGCGUUACUCGCAGAAGAAGCACCGGCUAACUCCGUGCCAGCAGCCGCGGUAAUUC
rnacentral:rRNA from 1 species